UGGCCCUUAGUGUAACGGCAGCACGACUGACUCUGAAUCAGUUAGUCAAGGUUCAAAUCCUUGAGGGCCAA
rnacentral:tRNA from 1 species